rnacentral:rRNA from 1 species
UACGAAGGGUGCUAGCGUUGUUCGGAAUUACUGGGCGUAAAGCGCACGUAGGCGGAUUUGUAAGUCAGGGGUGAAAUCCCGGGGCUCAACCUCGGAACUGCCUUUGAUACUGCAAGUCUCGAGUCCGGAAGAGGUGAGUGGAAUUCCUAGUGUAGAGGUGAAAUUCGUAGAUAUUAGGAAGAACACCAGUGGCGAAGGCGGCUCACUGGUCCUGUACUGACGCUGAGGUGCGAAAGCGUGGGGAGCAAACAGG